ACCAGGUGGACAGGACUAAAUGACAUGGCUCUAAAUAACCUGGCUUACACCUCUCUUUUUUUGGUCACGGAAAAGGGGAGCGUUCAGCGUUGGGUCGCAUGGAAAAGGAAAAGAAGGGUGUCGAUCCCAAUCGCAGCGGCGGCGGGAGGGGACACGAGCACGGGAGAGGAGAGGGCCGGGCUCGAGGUGACGGAGGUCGGAUGCGAUCGCGAGGCAGGGAAGGAGGAGCAACCGCGAGUUAGCCUGCUCGCACUCGACGUCGUUUGCCGUCGCCUCCCUUUGCACCUACUCCUCUAGUUCGGUUCGGCCUCCCCUGUUGACCACGUGCUCGAGCGUGACGGGACCGCGGCUAGAGCGCGGCCAGGAUGCGGGACGGUGGGAGAGAGCCCUGCGGUACCUCUAGUUGUUCCACGCGGGGGUGGGGGGAGGGAGACAGCCCCAUACCAUCCAAGCAUGACUGGCGGAGGCCGAGCUCGUUCCUAGACGACGUGGAGGCCGGGGAAAACGAACGUCUAACUCCUCUUCUCUUGUGUACAUCUAUCAAGUAGUUUCAAGGAAUUGACGCCGACUAGAAGAAGCAGUCCACUUACAUGACGUCUAAAUCAUGUAUCUCGAAAAAAAGGAAGAGAUUCUAUGUCAUAUGACGAUUAAAACUACCAAACAACUUAAUAGAAGAACAUUAUAUACUCGCGGGCGUUACCGGUGGAGCCGUGUUCCUUGUGUCCAACGUCUCUAUCUGCACGCCCGACGUCUCUCCCGGCGGGUGCUGUACCAGCGAUGGCAAGCAGAUAGCGUGCCGUUGCCGUCCAGCUGGGGUGGUAGAGACGGGGAAAAACUACCGCCGAGACCUCCUGGCUCCUUAACUCCAACGGGGAAAGCAGACAAGUGUAGGAGGCAAUCAAAAUCUAAAAACUUCUAAAUACGCUACCUUAGUACUAUACAUUGUACAGAAGAGGACUUCUCCAGGCGAAUAAUGAACUACUGUGACAACGGCCUUUGUGCCGGUUCCAUCGACACGAGGAGUACUACCUCGUCGCGGACCCUGUAAAAGAACCCUCCAACUUCGGCCUUUCCCUCCUCCUUCUACCGUCGGCGGGGCGGCGGGUUCCGGCUGCUCGACGUCGGCGUAGGCGAGUUCCUCGUCGACGGGUCGCACAGAAAGACGUAGUGGUCGAGUGACGGUACCGCAUGGCACGAGACGAAGUGGGGCGGAGUCCCCGGAGAACUAAACGAGAAACUUUCAAAGGGAGAAUGUAAGGCACGAACAGGAAGUGACAGGAGUCAAAAACGAGGAUGAACAACAAAGUACAGGUCCGAAAGAAAGGGUGACGUAGUACACACGACUAAUGACUGGAUAAAAACAACAACAGCUACGUGUAGUCAGAAGUAUAAAAGUCAUCUCUUUCAAAAAACAACCUUUGUUUAAGAAAACGAAUUGGUCACACCUUCCAAGUAACUAGAACUUAAAUAAAUAUUACUUUUCCGGAAGUCGACGUGUACAAAAAUACGUUAACUAUCAUACAUGAUGAGUAUAAUUAGUUUAUCGUAUAUUCAACUACAAGACACGAACAUUAGAACCCGCCUUGGUUCCGGCACUAUGAUCCUAAAGUUGUAAAGUAUCAGUACAACCCGUGGUCGUAGUAGUAUGGUUGCUACGAACAAGGAGUUUACCCUCCACCUUUACUCCUCUUUCGAGCCCAUUAGAUCUGCGAGUACAAGCAGCAGCCGUAUUUGUGGAAUGACGUUUGGAAGAACCCCAGAACAGAGGUGCAGCACUACCCACCGAGGUUGUGAAAGUAACACGGUUGGUAGAGGUAGUAGAACCGGCCUACGACUCCGUUACUCCGUCUAGGAGUGCUCUUUUAAGGAUGCCUGCUACUCCCCCUGUGUUUCGCGAGAGUAUUAGCGCUACUACUAAGUUUAGUAGGUACCAAAGUCACCAGAGACCGCGUUACAACAGGGGGUAAUAGGCGCCAAGGAGAACAAAGUGAGUAACCUAAACCCGAAAUACUUGAACCGAAAGGUCCGAAAGUGGUGGCAACUCAAAGUACACUUGUUAGACAAAACAAUAAAAAUAUUUUGUUAUAGUACGGAGUAAAAGGUAAACUAAAUCAAUAAAGUUGAAGUUGAAACUCACAUAAUCUAUACGUGACUUAUCUUUCAUAUAAUGGAAUAGACUCAACAACGACGGUGACUCCACAAUUUUCACGUAUAAGUAUCGUAGAAGGAACCGUGCUAAUUAACGGUGGCCAAAUGUAAGCAUAGAAAGUUGUAAAUCAAGUCCUCGAACUACUUAAAAGGUACAGGACUUUAGUAUAUAUAAAAAAUUGUACUUAAAACAGAGGUGUUUCUUGUCACACCAUUCGAGAUAUUGUCAGUAAGUCUGUAGUUUAAUACUUGAGAGUAUAAACUAACGAACCUUUUGUCAAGUUUCGUAUCGGUCCUUUACGACCGCUGGCCUUAUAACACUAUGAUACCUACGAUAGUUCGUACGAAAACCCCCGAAUGGCGUCUAGUAGACGUUCUUCCCAAGUCAAGUUCUUGAUUAAUUCCAAUUCGAAGUUGUUACUAAACUUCCUAGGAGCACUGGUGCCGAUCCUUGGAGAUCUCAUGUAGUAGACGCGGAGCCCACCGAUGUCUACGACGUCGGCCAAGUUGGAUACCGGUAGUAUUUCUUGUCCUUCCUGAACAUUACAUCACCUUCCUCGUACAGGACGUCCUCUACCUGUCGCUCCGGCGACUGUUCCAGAGACUUGCUGCGCGAUCGCCACCACCGCCGUCGCUGGUUCCGGCAACUGCUCUUCUAGCGCUACCUCCUCUUCAAAACCUUGACCUUCUACCUCUAACAAUCCUCCUUCGUGUUGGUGUAGAACAGGGACAAGUUGGAUGUGUUCCACAACCACCUCUUCUUCGUCCCUUCGACGAGCGACUCUUCUGGUGCGUUGUCUUCUGGGGGUGGCGACGGCCACAAUAGAGAUCGUGCUCGACUGGUGUAGCCCGCAAUCAACCUAGUAUCUUACAUAGUACAGUAGUCUAUGUAUGUCAUAUAGUAGUCAACGUACAUGUAAGUUCUCCGAGAGUAAUAAACUUACGUCGACACGAUGUGUUUAACGACUUUUCUUUAGUCUUUCACACACACACGGAUGGACCGUGGCGUGUUGGUGGAGAGUCCGCCGCGCGGUGCCUGCGCGGGGUUGGUGAUAGAUAUCUUAAUAUCUAUGUAUAUACGGGGUACUCUCCAGCUCCGUUG
rnacentral:rRNA from 1 species